ACUGCGGUAGCUUAAGUUUAUAAAGUUUAAUAUUCUUAAUAUUAUGAUGACUGUUUCGUUUCGUGGUG
rnacentral:tRNA from 1 species